CCUACGGGUGGCUGCAGUGGGGAAUAUUGCACAAUGGGGGAAACCCUGAUGCAGCGACGCCGCGUGAGUGAAGAAGGAAUUCGUUAUGUAAAGCUCUAUCAGCAGGGAAGAAAAUGACGGUACCUGAGUAAGAAGCCACGGCUAACUACGUGCCGGCAGCCGCGGUAAUACGUAGGGGGCAAGCGUUAUCCGGAUUUACUGGGUGUAAAGGGAGCGUAGACGGCAGUGAAAGUCUGGAGUGAAAGGGGGGGGCUCAACCCCCGGACUGCUCUGGAAACUGUACGGCUGGAGUGCAGGAGAGGUAAGUGGAAUUCCUGGUGUAGCGGUGAAAUGCUUAGAUAUCAGGAAGAACACCAGUGGCGAAGGCGGCUCACUGGACUGUAACUGACGCUGAGGCUCGAAAGCGUGGGGAGCAAACAGGAUUAGAUACCCGAGUAGUC
rnacentral:rRNA from 1 species